UACGUAGGGUGCAAGCGUUGUCCGGAAUUAUUGGGCGUAAAGGGCUCGUAGGCGGUCCGUCACGUCGGGAGUGAAAUCCCCGGGCUUAACCUGGGAACUGCGUUUCUAACUGGCAGGCUUGAGUGUGGCAGAGGGGGGUGGAAUUCCGACGUGUAGCAGUGAAAUGCGUAGAGAUGUGGAGGAACACCGAUGGCGAAGGCAGCCCCCCUGGGCUAACACUGACGCUCAUGCACGAAAGCGUGGGGAGCAAACAGG
rnacentral:rRNA from 1 species